rnacentral:rRNA from 1 species
GAUGAACGCUGGCGGCGUGCUUAACACAUGCAAGUCGAACGGAAAGGCCCUGCUUUUGUGGGGUGCUCGAGUGGCGAACGGGUGAGUAACACGUGAGUAACCUGCCCUUGACUUUGUGAUAAAUUCAGGAAACUGGGGCUAAUACCGGAUAGGAGCUCCUGCUGCAUGGUGGGGGAUGGAAAGAUUCGGCGGUUGGGGAUGGACUCGCGGCUUAUCAGCUUGCUGGUGGGGGAGUGGCUUACCAAGGCUGUGACGGAUAGGCGGCCUGAGAGGGUGACCGGCCACAUUGGGACUAAGAGAGGGCCCAGACUCCUACGGGAGGCAGCAGGGGGGAGUAUUGCACAAUGGGCGGGAGCCAGAUGCAGCAACGCCGCGUGCGGGAAGACGGCCUUCGGGUUGUAAACCGCUUUCGCCUGUGACGAAGCGAGAGUGACGGUAAUGGGUAAGAAAGCACCGGCUAACUACGUG